rnacentral:rRNA from 1 species
AUUGAACGCAGGCGGCAUGCCUUACACAUGCAAGUCGAACGGUAACAGGUCUUCGGAUGCUGACGAGUGGCGAACGGGUGAGUAAUGCAUCGGAACGUGCCCAGUAGUGGGGGAUAGCCCGGCGAAAGCCGGAUUAAUACCGCAUACGACCUGAGGGUGAAAGGGGGGAUCGCAAGACCUCUCGCUAUUGGAGCGGCCGAUGUCAGAUUAGCUAGUUGGUGGGGUAAAGGCCUACCAAGGCAACGAUCUGUAGUUGGUCUGAGAGGACGACCAGCCACACUGGGACUGAGACACGGCCCAGACUCCUACGGGAGGCAGCAGUGGGGAAUUUUGGACAAUGGGCGCAAGCCUGAUCCAGCAAUGCCGCGUGCAGGAAGAAGGCCUUCGGGUUGUAAACUGCUUUUGUCAGGGAAGAAAUCUUCUGGGUUAAUACCUCGGGAGGAUGACGGUACCUGAAGAAUAAGCACCGGCUAACUACGUGCCAGCCGCCGCAGUAAUAC